UACGGGGGGAGCAAGCGUUGUUCGGAUUUACUGGGCGUAAAGGGCGCGUAGGCGGUCAGCACAAGUCAGUUGUGAAAUCUCCGGGCUUAACUCGGAAAGGUCAACUGAUACUGUGCGACUAGAGUGCAGAAGGGGCAACUGGAAUUCUCGGUGUAGCGGUGAAAUGCGUAGAGAUCGGGAGGAACACCAGUGGCGAAAGCGGCUCUCUGGUCCAAAACUGACGCUGAGGGGCGAAAGCGUGGGGAGCGAACGGG
rnacentral:rRNA from 1 species